rnacentral:rRNA from 1 species
AAGUGGAGAAGGGUUCCAUGUGAACAGCAGUUGAACAUGGGUCAGUCGGUCCUAAGGGAGGGCGAACGCCGUUCAGAAGGGCGGGGCGAUGGCCUCCGUCGCCCCCGGCCGAUCGAAAGGGAGUCGGGUUCAGAUCCCCGAACCCGGAGUGGCGGAGAUAGGCGCCGCGAGGCGUCCAGUGCGGUAACGCAAACGAACCCGGAGACGCCGGCGGGGGCCCCGGGAAGAGUUCUCUUUUCUUUGUGAAGGGCAGGGCGCCCUGGAAUGGGUUCACCCCGAGAUAGGGGCCCGUGCCCUGGAAAGCGCCGCGGUUCUGGCGGCGUCCGGUGAGCUCUCGCUGGCCCUUGAAAAUCCGGGGGAGAGGGUGUAAAUCUCGCGCCGGGCCGUACCCAUAUCCGCAGCAGGUCUCCAAGGUGAACAGCCUCUGGCAUGUUGGAACAAUGUAGGUAAGGGAAGUCGGCAAGUCAGAUCCGUAACUUCGGGAUAAGGAUUGGCUCU